CUGAGUCAGAUUCCAGAAGGUGAGAAGAAGCCUAGACCAGUAGCUUUCGCAAGUAAGGCCCUUUCAAGUGCCCAGUCCAAUUACCCUGCUCAUAGGUUAGAGUUCUUUGCACUGAAGUGGGCAGUUUGUGAUAAAUUUUCCCAUUGGCUGAAGGGGACAAAAUUCACAGUGCUAACUGAUAACAAUCCCCUAACAUAUAUAAUGUCAAAGCCAAAAUUAGAUGCCUGCGAGCAAAGAUGGGUAUCUAAACUCGCCCCUUUUGAUUUUGACUUGAGAUACAUACCUGGUACCCAGAAUGUCCCUGCAGAUCUUUUGAGCCGACAACCUUUUGCCAGAGCAUUGGAGUUCUGUGAAGCCCUUGAGGCCAACGCUAAUCACUUGACCUCUGAGUCUGUCCAGGAAACUUUCCGUUUGUCAGUGAAUGUACAGCAUCGAAUCGGUAUGAACAGUGUGAAAGGUUCUGAAGCUGAAAAGUUGAGUCUGGUUAGCAAUGAAGGAGCGAAAGCUGUUUUUGAGUCCUGUGUAGAUUGGGAGACCAGCCGUCCAAUCUGUAAUAUUAAUUUAAUUCAGAGCCAAAAUUUGAUCUGUGGAGGUGCUAGCGCUCUUCCAGUUUUCUCUAUGGAAGAGAUAAGAAUGAAACAAAAAGGAGAUCCCAUUGUGUCCCGAGCUGUGUUCUUCGUUGACAGAAAAAGGAGACCAUCACGCAGGGAGAGAGAUAACGAGACUACAUCAGUAAUGCAACUGUUGAAACACUGGGAAAAACUUGAAGUAAAGGAUGGAAUUCUGUACUGUAGGUCCAAGGACCGGGUCGGUAAAAUCAGGUAUCAGCUUGUACUUCCACACUCAUUGAGAACUGCUGCUCUAAGAGGAACCCAUGAUGACACAGGUCAUCAGGGACUGAGCAGAACCCUUCAUCUUGUACAUCAGAGGUUUUUCUGGUCUGGUAUGGAUACAGAUGUCAAAAAGUAUGUCUCGCACUGCAAACGAUGUGUGGUUGGGAAGACACAGGAACCUGAGGCCAGAGCCCCACUUGAGUCCAUCAGAACAAGUGCACCCCUCGAGCUUGUAUGCAUAGAUUUCUGGUCAGCAGAAGGAACUCAUGGGGAGGAGAGUGUUGAUGUGCUUGUUAUAACCGACCAUUUCACCAAACUAGCCCAUGCAUUCCCCUGUCCUAACCAGACGGCCAAGGUAGUGGCGCAAAAACUAUGGAACAAUGUUUUCUGUGUGUAUGGCUUUCCACAGAGAAUACAUUCGGACAAAGGUGCCAACUUCGAGAGCAAAUUGAUUGCGGCGUAAUUGUAGGUGUCUGGUGUACGAAAGUCCCAUACCACGCCAUACCAUCCUAUGGGUAAUGGGCAGACUGAAAGAUUUAAUCGCACACUUGGCAAUAUGAUCCGUUCUUUGCCGCCUCGAGCGAAGGAGAGAUGGCCGCAGAACAUUCAGACACUCACAUUCUCCUAUAAUUGUACUACUCAUGAAACAACAGGGUUUGCACCAUUCUACCUGAUGUUUGGAAGAAUUCCCAGAUUACCUAUAGAUGUCAUGUUUGGAGGUGCCCUCAGAAACGAUGAUGUUCAGACUUAUGAGUAUGUCAAAUGUAUGCAGAAAGAUCUCAGAGAAGCUGUGCAUAUUGCUAAAUUCAACAGAGAAAGCAGACGCAGGAGUACAACAAAAGAUCCAAGGGUGCCCCACUGGAGGUCGGAGACCGUGUACUCCUGGUAAACAAAAAGGAAAGAGGAAAAGGGAAAUUAUCUGAUGUGUGGAGCUCAGAAGUUCAUUUAGUGAUCUGGAAAGAUCCAUCAUUGCCCAUCUACCGGGUUGAGAACCCAACCACAAAGAACAGUAAGGUUGUCCAUCGCAACUUCCUCCUUCCAGUCAAUUUUCUUCCUUUGGAAGAACCAGAAAUUUAAUCUACAGAAUUAUCUGUAGUCUCGGAAGAGGAAUGAUGUCAGACAGAGGACCAAAGUAGGAGAUCUCUGUUCAAUACAGAAAGUGAAACACAGAAUAGUAGAAUUGCUGCUUGGAUCUUACAAGGUGUCAACCCGGAAGCAGUUCAUUGUGCUGGAGGGAUUACUGUGGAGGAAAAGGGCAAAGAAAAUGUCACAGAGUCUAAGAAUUCAGUCUCUGCAAGUAAAACAAAAGAAAUGGUUCUCUCUACCAGACAUAUAAUUGAACACAUCGGAAGUUCUGGUGACAUACAUGAUUCAGAUGAUAUGAACUCUUACACUGAGCAUUCCAUUGAUGGUGAGAACAGUACAUCUGAGUUAGAGCAAGAUCGAGCAAGCAACAGAAAUGAGGAAAUGAUCCAAGAGUCUGUGAACAGCCAGAGUGUUCAAGCAGAAUCAGUCACCUUGUCAAGUGAUGCUGGUCAAGUGAGCAGCUCAAUUAGAGACUCAAGGCAUCAAGCCUCAAGUAGUGGUAGAUGUAGAUACAAAAAGUCACAUAGAAAGACAACUAUAGCAGACACUGCCUUAAAACCAAACGAAGGGACUGUGAGAACCAGGGCAGGAAGGCUAGUGAAACCAGUAAGGAGACUGCUUGAGUGUAUGAGCAUGGUAAUGAUUGAACGAGGGCAAAAAGAUCCUCUGUUUGAAUUACUCAGAAUUCUGUAGAAUUUCAUAGGAAGUUAAAAAGAUCUUUUGAAGUAUAAUUUCAAGCUAAUAUUCAGUGUUAAUCAGAAUUAAGAAAUUAGAGGCCUUUAAUAGGAUUUGAGAAGUACUUUAUUUGGGGGUGUAUGCUUAUAUGUAUAAGGGCAUAUUUCUACCAAGCAAAUUAUACUUGCUAUUCAUUUGAAUGACUGGAGUCAGGUUCCCUUAUAAAGGAAAAUAACUCACCUAAGGCCUUAAAGUUUGAUGAAAUUUAGGAGGGGAGAGUGUAGUGUACUGAGUUUUGUGACUACAAACUUUGUUGAUUUAAGUGAAAAUGUUUUUUUUGGGGUAUUUCUGUUGAUCUGUUUAAAUUAUCUUUAAAAGAGAUUGGGAAGAACAUGCAUAUGCAGUUGUUUAAAAAUAAUAUUUUUGUAUUUAAAAGAAAAGUGACGUCAUUCCACUUACGUGUUGGUUCACCAAUCGGAUCUCACUCAAGUUCAGAACAGCUUUGGACUUGAGUGAGGCAGGUAAGUUGUAACUGAGCUCUGUGAUUAAAUAUUCAAAUAUAAGAGAUUGGGUUAGUUUUCUUGUUAAUACUUGUACAUGAAGUGUUGUAAGAGUGGAUUAAGACACUGAAAGUAUUUUAUUGUCAUUAGCGUUAGAUAUAUUCGAAUUUUGCGUUAAUGAGCUCUUAAUGAGAUGGUUAUAUUCCCGCCCGCGCGCCAUUUUAUAUGCGGGUUUCUUUGUUAAUGGGUUUCAAAAGAUAACAUAAAAUUGUGGAUAACGUUCAUAAAAUAUCAUGCAGUUGAAUUUUGUAUGGGUAUUUGUUGUUUUGUGCCAAAUGCAUGUAUUUGUAACCGUAUGUAUAUUUGAGAUGUCAAGUUAAUGCAGUUAAAAGUGUUAAAGGGUAACUAAACCCUAAACCAACUUUUUUUAGUUAAUGAUCUGUAAAGGUGCGUACACACUGCCAGCGACAUCGCGCGCGACAGCGACUCAAUACCAUUCAUUUUCAAUGCGAGCACAGCGACUUCCGGCGACACGAGCUGUCGCGACCGUUGGCGCUAGAUUUGGGCGUGUCCAGUGACGCGACAAAGUUGAGAAAAGUUCAACUUUGGAGCGACUAACGGAAGCGACAGCCAAUAGGAGAGACGACAGGAGAGCUCACGUGAUCCUUCUGUCUCUCUCUCAGUUCCUGCAGUAACGGAAAGAUGGAUGAAAGGCUAAUUCUUGUUGUUAGAAAUUUUCCAGUGCUCUAUGAUAUGUCUCUUCCCACGUACAAGGACAUUUUUAAGAAAAAUACUGCGUGGAAAGGUGUAUCUGAGAUAGCGGGCAUUUUAUGGACCGGCAUUUGCAUUUUCGCCGCAGAUAAACAGCCGCUAUGGCAAACAGCACGCCUGGUUUCUUAUUCAUCUUUGAUAUAAACAUUUUAUGUACUGAUUCCAUUUAUAUUUAGUCUUUUCCCUCCAAAAUCUUUGUUUUUAGUGGCAAGAAAAGAGAUUCGCUGUCAACAGCAAUGGAAUGGCAUCCGUGAAUGUCAUUUAUAAACGUUACUAGGCAACCAGUAGUGGGAACACCCACUAGCUACUUCACCGCCAGCCACUGGCGACUUGCAGCGACAAAGUCGCUGGCAGUGUGUACGCACCUUAAGCAUGGGGCUUUAUUAGUACUGGUCAUUGAUUCAAGUAAUUUUUUUUGACAUUUGUGUAUAAAGUGUUUUAAUUCUACAAUAUAUGGUGUAAAAACGUCUGAGUGCUGCCCUCUUCAGGUUGAACGGUGGCUACUGCAGUUGAAUUUUCCUAUUGGCUGUUGCGGUACUUCGUGACGUAAGCGGUGACAGCUGACGUAAGCAGGUUCCAGCUCACCACGCCAGAUUCAUGUACAUGUCGUCUUGCGACCGUGUGAGGAAUAAUAAUAACAUAGAGUGUGACAGCAGCUGUCAAUUAAUCCGUCACUACGAGUCUCAGGUGCCCUCCCCCCCCCCCACCCACCCCCGUUCAGCCCCGCACUCGGUUCGUUCCCUCUAUCCCCGCCGGGGUCUGCCCACUUUUCCAACAUUUUCAAAUAUUUCUAGUGGGUGGAGUCAGACUCUGAGCAGGUGUUUAGUUACCCUUUAAUGUAGGCAGGAGUUAAUUUUUCUCUUCUCACACUCCUCACAGAGAGAUUGCAGAACUGAGGGUGUGUGUGUGUAAUUCCUGUCCUCUGUUAAAUAAACUGCAGCUGAGAUCCAGCACUGUCUUUUGAGUGCGGGAGAUGUGGGCUGUGGUGUGUUCGAGUGUUUCGAGAACAACUCUUGUGAAAUCCGGGGCUUGCAGGAGAUUUGCAUGACCUUCCUGC